AUGCGUGCAAAAUAUAAAUAUUACAAUUUUUGCGUUUUAUGUUUUCAUAAGCUUCCACAACCUGUCUGUAAUAUAAUUCUUAUAACUUUUUUCACCUCUACGGCGAUCUGCCAAGAGACCAAACCUUAAAUCUCUGCUCCGUGGCGUUCAAAAUACAUUUUAAGGCCUAUAUUAUGGCUAACAGGUCAAACAAUAUUAUUCGCCAUUUUGAAUAGGCGCGGGAGACGUUAUUUUUUUCCCGCUGAAAGGACCCGCGCGCGCUCUGACAGACGGACGGCGGGCUCCUGAGGACUGAGCUGUGAUUGCCAUUAAGUGAUCCAUUAUUUGACGGCGAAUUUGGGCCUGGACUUGAGCGGCCUCGCAUGCCUCUUCAGACAUUUGUCCCCUCGCAGGGAUUGCUGGACGUUUCAGGACACUGCGCUCAGUUUGCCCACAAAACCAGUGCAAAUAACUCAGCGCUGACCUGCCGGAUGGCUUUGGAAGGGCAACCUCCCAGAGGGACGGCGUUGGGAGCUUAAUUAGAAUGUCAGGAGACACUUUCAAAGUAGUCUGAGACGAGAGUCCACUCCAGUGGGAAACCCGAGCCGAUCGUCUUUCCCAGUUCAAGGCGAAUUGUUGAAUGGGAUCAGACGCAAGGAAUCACAUCUUGUGCAGCGGCUCCACUGGUAGCAUCCCUCUAAGGUCAAGCCGUUCGUGACGGCCUCCCUGAAGCGACAGCUGCUCGGUAUAAGGUUACGAUUUCACCUGCGCGCCGCAGUAACGCAGGAACUGGCGUGUCAUUGAGGAGCGGGCAAGCAGUUUAGUUCUGCUGAUGCAUAAUGAAGAACAAAGGAUGUUUUCUAGUGACUUUAGUUCAUUCAUGCAUUCUGCAACACGAUCGCCGAAGUUUAAUGCUCUGCGUCGGAGGUUUGGUCGAAUCCCUCUCUAACCAGGCACAUCGCUAAUCCCGAUGCUUUCCUUGUUGAUACCAACUAUUGCAUCUCGGCCAUAUGGGAACGCAAUAUUGGAAGUGCUGCUUCAGUGGAUUCCUGAGGAACCUCCUGUUACCGUCACUGAACUUCCUGCCGAAAGACGGGCUGAUUUAGUGCUCAGGGAUGGAGUGGAAGAGAAAGAUCUCCACCUGGGUCCCUCAGAAGUGACUGUUUAUACAAGAGUCUCCCUCGUCCUGCACGUGCGGGUUUGAAGCCUCGGACCGCGGUGAAGGGGUUAUUUGAGCAGCUUCCAUUUACCGCUGGACCCUUUCCAAGGGAAAGUGUAGAGUUGGGCCAAAAUCCGUGGACAGCUACUGAUGAGAUCUGCCGAGUCCAAAAAUGUGAGCGCAAUAAAACAACGGCAUGAGGAAAAGCCGGGCGUCCUCCUGGGCUGCAUUAGCGAGCGGUAAUGCAGUGAGAGGCUGAGGAUGUAUCGCGUCGAAUCUUUUCCUUGGAGCGCGGCUGGGAUGUAUUUAUGGUUUUUCCUUUAGCAGCGAGCGGGUCAGAGGGCGACGUGAGGUCCUGACAGAACACAAUCAUCCAUUAACGCUUAAACAGACAUGAAUGGAAAAAGGCAGCAGUUCAGGGUCAUCAAAUCAGAUCCUACUUAUGCAACAAAAGCAUUACCACAUGGAGGACAGAAAGCAGAGCCUCAGCAACACACACACACACACACACACACACACACACACACACACACACACACAC